UUCAAACCAAUGGACAAAUAAAAGAAGAAAACAAAAGUAAUCCAAAUUCUGCUACUCAGAGGUGGCUUGUAAGAUCUGGUGUCACCUUGUGGACAACACUUUGAGGAGCCCUGCUCUAGGAUUUCUCUAAUCUGCUCUGAUAAUCCCUUCCAUCUCCUCCACUCCACAUUCUGUUCUCUCCAGCCUGUGCUAAAUGCCUCUUUUGUGUUAAAAUACCCCAUUACAUUAAGCUGUGCUCUUCCUAAGGGAGACAGUUGGAAUCUUAUCUUUCCAUGCCCAACAUCUACCACAGUGCUUGGCAAGAAGUUUGUUAGGCUGCUCUAUUCAUUCUUUAUGGAGAUUGGAAGAGAUUUACAAAGUUUUAGUUAUGUUUUUUUGGGGGAGGAUGAGAUUGUGGGGGCUUUCCUUGUAGUCUUCAGUAUUUCCUAAAUUUUCUCUGACACACAUGUAGUACUUUUGAAACGGGAAAAUUAAAGCAUUAUUUUGACAAUUGAUAUGGAA